AGCUGGUUCUCCGCGAAAUCUAUUUAGGUAGAGCGUCGAUCGAAUACUCUCGGGGGUAGAGCACUGACUGGGCUAGGGGUCCUCACCGGAUUACCAAACCUUAUCAAACUCCGAAUACCGAGAAGUACUAAUCGGCAGACACACGGCGGGUGCUAACGUCCGUCGUGGAGAGGGAAACAACCCUGACCACCAAUUAAGGUCCCCAAAUAAUGGCUAAGUGUGAAAGGAUGUGGGAUUGCUUUGACAAUGAGGAGGUUGGCUUAGAAGCAGCCAUCCUUUAAAGAAAGCG
rnacentral:rRNA from 13 species